GAUGAACGCUGGCGGCGUGCUUAACACAUGCAAGUCGAACGGUGAAGCAGGAGCUUGCUCUUGUGGAUCAGUGGCGAACGGGUGAGUAACACGUGAGCAACCUGCCCCUGACUCUGGGAUAAGCGCUGGAAACGGCGUCUAAUACUGGAUAUGUGAUGUGACCGCAUGGUCUGCAUCUGGAAAGAAUUUCGGUUGGGGAUGGGCUCGCGGCCUAUCAGCUUGUUGGUGAGGUAAUGGCUCACCAAGGCGUCGACGAUCAGUAGCUGGUCUGAGAGGCCGAUCAGCCACACUGGGACUGAGACACGGCCCAGACUCCUACGGGAGGCAGCAGUGGGGAAUUUUGGACAAUGGGGGCAACCCUGAUCCAGCAAUGCCGCGUGAGUGAAGAAGGCCUUCGGGUUGUAAAGCUCUUUUGUCAGGGAAGAAACACCGGCUCUAACACAGUCUGGGAAUGACGGUACCUGAAGAAUAAGCACCGGCUAACUA
rnacentral:rRNA from 1 species